CGCCCAAGAGUUCACAUCGACGGCGGUGUUUGGCACCUCGAUGUCGGCUCAUCACAUCCUGGGGCUGAAGCCGGUCCCAAGGGUAUGGCUGUUCGCCAUUUAAAGUGGUACGCGAGCUGGGUUUAGAACGUCGUGAGACAGUUCGGUCCCUAUCUACCGUGGGCGUUGGAAAUUUGAGAGGAGCUGCUCCUAGUACGAGAGGACCAGAGUGGACGAACCACUGGUGUUCGGGUUGUCAUGCCAAUGGCAUUGCCCGGUAGCUACGUUCGGAUGGGAUAACCGCUGAAAGCAUCUAAGCGGGAAGCCCACCUCAAGAUUAGAUUUCCCU
rnacentral:rRNA from 1 species